rnacentral:rRNA from 1 species
AUUGAACGCUGGCGGCAGGCCUAACACAUGCAAGUCGCGCGAGCGGCGGACGGGUGAGUAAUGUCUGGGGACUGCCCGAUAUAGGGGGAUAACUACUGGAAACGGUGGCUAAUACCGCAUACUCUCGGAUAACCCAUAUGGGAUUAGAUAGUAGGUGGGGUAAAGGCUCACUUAGGCGACGAUCUUGAGCUGGUCUGAGAGGCUGAUCAGCCGCCAUGUGACUGAGACACGGCCCAGACUCCUACGGAGGCAGCAGUGGGGAAUAUUGCACAAUGGGCGCAAGCAUGAUGCAGCCAUGCCGCGUGUAUGAAGAAGGCCUUAGGGUUGUAAAGUACUGUCAGCGGGGAGGCGUUACCCGCAGAAGAAGCACCGGCUAACUCCGUGCCAGCAGCCGCGGUAAUAC